rnacentral:rRNA from 1 species
GACGAACGCUGACGGCGUGCUUAACACAUGCAAGUCGAAGGGAGUGGCGAACGGGUGAGUAACACGUGAGUAACCUGCCCUUUUCUUUGGGAUAAGCCUGGGACACUGGGUCUAAUACUGGAUGGUUUGGGAUGGGUUCGCGGCUUAUCAGCUUGUUGGUGGGGUGAUGUCUUACCAAGGCUUUGACGGGUAGCCGGAAUGAGAGGGUGGUCGGUCACACUGGGACUGCGUUAAGGCCCCGACUCCUACGGGAGGCAGCAGUGGGGGGUAUUGCACAAUGGACGAAAGGCUGAUGCGGAGACGUCGUGUGGGGGAUGAAGGCCUUCGGGUUGUAAACUCCUUUCGCCCGCGGAAUGGUAGUGGGUAAAGAAGCGCCGGCUAACUACGUGCCAGCCGCCGCGGUAAUAC